rnacentral:lncRNA from 1 species
GUCAGGCCGCAGGGACCCGGACGCGCUCUACCGCGCAGCAGCGGCCGGCGGGUGCCCAGCAGGCUCCGCACUGCCGCCCGCGGGAACUCCGGGUGCAGGCGCCAGUGGCGCGCGAUCCCGGAGCCUGCGCGGACAAGUGCUGACUGGUGCGGGAGGGGCCCGUGCGGCGGGGGAAGAAGGCGGAGUCCGCGGGGAAAACGAAACUGAGAGUGAGCGGCCCAGAUCCCACCAGGCUUCACAGACUGCAGCAGCGCGGGUGAGUGGCGAGGGGCCGACAACCAGGAGCCACAAGGGCGCUCGCCAUCCUGCAUCCCCAGCCUGGGACUGGACCCUGCACUUCCAGCCAUCUGGUCAUCAUAUACCCACUCCUAUUAUUUGUUUUUGGACGUUGUCUUCUUUGUUUCUUCAGUGGAGUGCAGGUAAGGACUUGAUUUGUCUUGCUCACAUAUGGACACCAGUGUUGGAACAGUGCCUGACACUUGCUAAGCAUUUGCUGAAUGAAUGAAGAAAGGAUGCACAGAAAACAACAGAUGAGAAAAAGAGAGACAAUGAGGUUUAAGAUGGAGUGCUUAAUUUUAGUGACUCAAUCUCUCAUUUCCCUAUAUGCCAUCCAGGUGUUCAGAAUUUACCACUUGCCACUGGGUGGCAGUGAUACAGAGAUGAGUAAGACAUAGAGCUGGCUCCCCAAAGAGCUCACUGACUAGUGUAAAAAGCAGUCAGCACUAUGAUGGGAGCUGACAAGGGGUGGCAGGCCCAUGUAGAGGUACUAGCUGCUCCCUCAGCUUCAAAAGAAGUAUAUAUUGUUCCCACAGAUGAGUAGGAAUUUCCUAGUAGACAAAGGGUAUAGGUAUUGGGAGAGAAAAACAUGUGACAAGUCAUGGAGAUGAUGGAGAUGUACAGAUACUUUGGUAUUCAUUUAUUCAUCAUUGAGCCUCUAUGAUAAACCUACUCCCUUCGCUCUUGUUGCUCAUGGUCUCUUUUGGAAGACAGUGCGUUAAAUUAGCAAUUGCAAUAAAGGAGACAAGGGCUGUGAUAGAUCA